UACAGAGGAGCCAAGCGUUGUCCGGAUUGACUGGGCGUAAAGCGUACGCAGGCGGACGCGCGCGUGGGGUGUGAAAUCUGGCCGCUUAACGGCCAGGCGCCAUCCCAUACGGCGCGUCUGGAGUGAUGCAGAGGUCGGUGGAAUUGCCGGUGUAGUGGUGAAAUGCGUAGAGAUCGGCAGGAACACCCAGGGGGAAACCAGCCGACUGGGCAUCUACUGACGCUGAGGUGCGAGAGCGUGGGGAGCGAACCGG
rnacentral:rRNA from 1 species